UACGAAGGGAGCUAGCGUUGUUCGGAAUCACUGGGCGUAAAGCGCACGUAGGCGGAUUUGCCAGUCAGGGGUGAAAUCCCGGGGCUCAACCUCGGAACUGCCUUUGAUACAGCAAGUCUUGAGUUCGAGAGAGGUGGGUGGAAUUCCUAGUGUAGAGGUGAAAUUCGUAGAUAUUCGCAAGAACACCAGUGGCGAAGGCGGCUCACUGGCCCGAUACUGACGCUGAGGCACGAAAGCGUGGGUAGCAAACAGG
rnacentral:rRNA from 1 species